GGGAAUGUAAUUCAGUAGGAGAAUGUUUGCCUGGUAUACAAAAGGUCCCGGGUUCAAGUCCCCACCCCA
rnacentral:tRNA from 1 species